rnacentral:rRNA from 1 species
UACGUAGGUGACAAGCGUUGUCCGGAUUUACUGGGCGUAAAGAGCGCGCAGGCGGUCGUUCAAGUCGAGUGUGAAAGCCCCCGGCUCAACUGGGGAGGGUCACUCGAUACUGAUCGACUCGAAGGCAGGAGAGGGAAGUGGAAUUCCCGGGUGUAGUGGUGAAAUGCGUAGAUAUCGGGAGGAACACCGGUGGCGAAGGCGGUUCUCUGGGCCUUACCUGACGCUGAGGAGCGAAAGCGUGGGGAGCGAACAGG